rnacentral:rRNA from 1 species
UACGUAGGGGGCGAGCGUUGUCCGGAUUCAUUGGGCGUAAAGAGCUCGUAGGCGGCCAGGUAGGUCGGUUGUGAAAACUGGAGGCUCAACCUUCAGAGGUCGACCGAAACCAUCUGGCUAGAGUCCGGGAGAGGAGAGUGGAAUUCCUGGUGUAGCGGUGAAAUGCGCAGAUAUCAGGAAGAACACCCGUGGCGAAAGCGGCUCUCUGAAACGGUACUGACGCUGAGACGCGAAAGCGUGGGGAGCGAACAGG